rnacentral:snRNA from 1 species
AUACUUACCUGGCAGGGGAGAUACCGUGAUCACGAAGGUGGUUUUCCCAGGACAAGGCUUAUCCAUUGCACUCCAGAUGUGCUGACCCCUGCGAUUUUCCCAAAUGUGGGAAACCCGACUGCAUAAUUUGUGGUAGUGGGGGACUGCGUUCACGCUUUCCCCUG